GGUUCGAUGGUGUAGUUGGUUAUCACGUUCGUCUCACAGUUUCCGACUGUUGAAUUCGCCUUCUGGCGCACGAGAGGUCUCCGGUUCGAACCCGGGUCGAACCA
rnacentral:tRNA from 1 species